rnacentral:rRNA from 1 species
UACGUAGGCAGCAAGCGUUGUUCGGAGUUACUGGGCGUAAAGGGUGCGUAGGCGGUUGUUUAAGUUUGGUGUGAAAUCUCCCGGCUCAACUGGGAGGGUGCGCCGAAUACUGAAUGACUAGAGUGCGGGAGAGGAGAGUGGAAUUCCUGGUGUAGCGGUGAAAUGCGUAGAUAUCAGGAGGAACACCGGUGGUGUAGACGGCUCUCUGGACCGUAACUGGCGCUGAGGCACGAAAGCGUGGGUAGCAAACAGG